rfam:Bombyx mori DNA, contig: Bm_scaf8_contig6921, strain: p50T/Dazao, build 2, whole genome shotgun sequence.
ACAACAUUCGGACCGUCGGUCUACCGAGCAAUAUCACCCACUCGGUGGAAGAUCUUCCCUUUGUCGU